CACAAUUUCAAGAACAAAAUGAUUUAAAAGGAUUACUAGAAAAUCUCCAUCAAAAUAUCCAAGCCAAAAAAAGGAAGAAUGUAGAAAUCAUGUGGCUGGCUGCAACGAUUUGUCGCAAACUAAAUGGUAUCCGUUUUACCUGCUGUAAAAGUGCCAAAGACAGGACGUCGAUGUCAGUGACGCUUGAACAGUGUUCGAUCUUGAGAGAUGAGCACCAGUUGCACAAGGACUUCUUUAUUCGAGCACUGGAUUGUAUGAGAAGAGAAGGAUGCCGCAUAGAGAAUGUACUGAAGAAUAUCAAAUGCAGAAAGUAUGCUUUCAACGUGCUACAGCUGAUGGCUUUCCCCAAGUACUACAGGCCUCCAGAGGGGACUUAUGGAAAAGCUGACACCUAAGCUUACCAACAUGUAAAUAAACAGGAACACACAUUCGCUUCAGUGGGAUAAUCUCUACCUUUUUCAUUUUUUUUUUAUUAUUGUGAAUUUGUGGAGGGAGGUGAUCAAGGAUGUUUGCCCAAAUCUAGGAAUUACUUGAAUCAGUGAUGAGCAUAUUACUCUGAAAGAAAUCCAUUAAAAAAAAAACUCUUAUGUACUAUGGCCCUUCCUAGUCCUAAAUUUCUAAGUGUUGACUCUCGCUGGUUGAGAUCAGCUUGGAAAGUGUAACUUUCAUUCAUGGAGUAUUUUAGUGAAAGAUAUUCUGAGAAAACAUCGGUGCCACAGAGGACUUGAGGUGAGUCAGAGUGGCGCUCUCCCUCCACAGUGGAGAGAGGGGGAGAGGGUCCUUGUGAUAUUAUUUCAUAGCCUUUCUCACACAUAAUCUUGGAGUCCCUUUUUGAGAUUAAAACAUAUAUUUUUCUAGUGAACUGAAAUUAGGUAGCAGUAACUCAUGAUCUUGACUACAGCACAGUUUACAGGUACGCCCGUCAAGAUUUUUUUCCUCCGGCUGAGAUGUGACUUCCUCCUCCUAAACAGGUAGCUGAACAGUGUUAGUAAAGCCGUAAAAAUACUUUUCAAAAACACGGCAUCCUUUCAACAUUCUGAUGACUUGGGUUGCAUGGCCCAGUUGUAGAAGUGGCAGCAGAGAAAGUUUGUUAGUGUAAUAAGCAAAGCACUGCAAGGAACUCAACCUGCAAGGAAACUAAAAAGAAUCAGCCUGUUGAUGUCCAAAAUGAAUUCCCCAUCAGCCUGAACUGUAUGUAGUCAAGUUCAUGAAAGUCCAUAAGAUAUCUUUGAGAUGUUUUCUAGCCAUCAUCUUGGUAUAGACUAUAGAUGGUGUAAGUAUGCAUUGUCUGGCAUAGAUUAGUAUGUGUGAAUAAACCUUUGAAAACAUAUGCAACCAUAGCUAAUGGUAAACCAAAACAAUUAUUUCUGUUAACCUGAAUGUCCAGUUUGUCCUUACAUAGUAAAAUAACACCAUAAAUUUUCCCAAAUCCCAAAUUAAGAGUUGCCUUAGAGAUCAUCUUGUAUGCCACCAUUGUAAGUGGGGAAAAUACAGCACAGGGAAGAUAUGCCCCUAAACACCCAGCUACAGCAUUUUAAAGCCAUGAUUACGAUCUCUUCUUACCUUUCUACAUUUGUUUCUUCUCCAAAUUCCUAUGCCAAAUAAAAAUGAAUAUUAGGGGAGAAUGCUAAUUAGUUAUAUAGAAAUUGACAUUUAUUACUGGAAUUAAAGCUUAGAUUACAGAUGAAACCUAUUUUCUCCAAAUUUUAAGGAUUUAUUCUUUUUUCCUUUCUCCUUAGAGGAGCAUGCCACCCAAAGCAUAAAUCUCCCUUGGAAAUGCCAGAGGCUUGUGAUAUAGACAUCUCUUAGCGAUGACCGUAUUUAAUGGGUGACCUCAUGAGGCGUUUUUCAUAGCUAAUGUGAUAGCUCCUUCACUAAGAUGCCUGUUGAGAUAAGGAUUCCACACAGAUCAUGGUGGGUUUUUCAAGUUACUAGAAAUUUUAGAUAACCCUCUGGGGUUUUUAAUACUAGAAUUAUCAAUCUAUUAUUUUAGUGAAUGGCUGUGCGCAUUAUAUUUGAGGCAGUUGCCAAACUACCUAUGGCCUUUUUAAUAAAAAGAGGCUGUGUGCUAUGCCUCUUUAUGGAUAAAGUUAUCUUGGUAUUCUCUCUUAUACCUCAUUCUCCAUUUCAGGGAUUAAAUAUAAUCUUUGAAUUGUUCAAUUACAUUCGAAAAUGGUAAGAUUGGUGGUUAUUUUCAUUAUCCCACUGGAUUUACGGUAAAGAGGUUGGGAUGAUGACAGAGGUUUCCUUGAAUAACCAUGAAGCCUCCUUCAGUAUAUCAAAUGGUAAUCUGAGUUCCCAGAGACUUUUGAGUGAUUUAUCAUCCUGUAAAUAAUCUUAUAAACAAGAAUUUUUGGUAGCAUUUGUAAAAAUGAAACCUCUUGACUCAUACAUGGAAAAAUAUUUAUUAACUAAAAAGCCAACAAUAGGGCUUUUUAAUUUGGGGAAUACAUUUCAAGGAUUUUUUUUAUUUUAUUUUAUAAUAACUACUAAGUUGAUGUUUCAAAGGGUAGGACUUACUAUACUACAAUUGAAGUUUUUUGUUUAUUAUUAACAUAGUCAUCUGCAUUUCCCUGUAGGAAGCCUGUAUUUAUGCAUAUAUUUAAAAGUGGAUUUUAUCAAGGAAAUUCAUGUUUUAUACAGACAACAUUUCCCCUUUCCUGAGAGAUAAUCAAUGUAUCCUUGGAAAAUUACUUUACUAUUUCUGAAGUUAUUAAGGCUUUCUAAAUCAAAGCGCCAAAGUUAAACAGUACGUUUUGAAGUCUCCUUUGUACAGACACAGCUUGUAAUGUUUUUUUAUCUAUAUUCUCGUUUGGAAGACACAUCAGCAGGCCUAUUUUAGGAGAUCAUGUCAAGCCAGAAAGUGAACCAAGAAAAUGACAUUUCCAAACAGGAUCAUUUUUUUUGGCUCAAAAAUGUCUCCCCUCUCUUGUCAUCAAAUGUAGAUAUCAAUUCUGUAUUUGCUAUUUACAACCUUACAGAAAGCAUAUUUAAAAAUAAGGGAAGGUGGAAUCUAGAUUAUGUGUGACCCAGUGACAAAAGAACCAGUGCCUGGGAGUGCUCCCCAGAGCAGCUGAACAUAAACAUUUGAAAUAUUUGAUUGAAAUAACCCCACCUCUAACAGAAAACCAUUCAUUUCUUUCUCAUGUGAUUGACUUUUUCUUGUAAAUAUUGCCUUGAGUUUGUCUACAGUCUGCCAGGACAGUCCUGUGAUGUGAAUAGUUUGGUCAAUCCAAUAAGCUGGUGAAUCAGAGCAACCAUUUGACCCAGCUGACAAACUGCACUAAAAUGACCAACUGCCCAGUUGGAGCAGUUUGGUCCACCUUGGACCUACUACCCUCCAGUCCGUACUCAUAAGACCAACACCUUUUCUUCUGAAAACUGUAAAGUCUUAAAAGCUAGCCUCUCAUCCGCAUGGAGGAAACUCCCCUUUUUUCCCCUCAACUAAAUAAGGCAUUUGACGUACAGUAAGAAUCCAGAUGGAAAAGAAAAACGUUUGUUAUAGAGGACUACUUUUCUUCCCAAGCACAACAAGCCCCUCCCUAUGUAAAGUUUGAUAGAUGCCAAGAAGAGGUGGUACCUGGGGUGUGCUGGAACUGACUGGAGCUGAUUCAUGAUAGUCGAUCAGCAAAUUAUCAGGAAUUGUAUAAGCCACUUGCUAAACACAGCCAUUAUUAAAUGUUCAAAUACAAUUGAACACAUUUUAUUAAAAGCAGAGGUAAUAAUCAUAACUACACACCCUAAUUAUUUUACUACAUUUCACAGUACACCUCUGUUCUUGAGGUCAUUUAUGUCCGUUGUAUCUGCACACCGUGUUAUAGCAUCCCUGCACAUACCCCCCGCUCCACGUUGGCCACUGGAAAUUGAACACUGCUACCAACCAGAGCCUUUAAUUCCUGGACAUCCAGUUGUUCAAUCCUCCUUGGCACACAAUUGAAUGCCACCACCACUUUUUUUUCAGAAAAUCACUGGAAGCAGUAUACAGUUAUUAAAAUGAUAUUAAAUGCAAUCACUCAUCUUCAAAUGGCUGCAAUGUUGUAGUUUUUACCCUCUUUAAAGACUCUGAUUGGGCUAUAAGUAACAUUUGAUGUUCAUAUUUUAUUCAUAAUUAAAUUGUUUAAUCAUAGAGAUGCAUUUCCAAACGCAUCUCUCUAUGAUGUUUGGCAAGGGAAAUCUUGGCAGUGCAACUUCAGUGUAAGCAAUAACAACUCCAGGCUAAAUUCAGGGACAUGUUAGUGUAAUUAGAGUAUCACUGAAAAUGUGCUUCAGUAUCAGUUUUUUAAUUUAUAAUUUUAGCAUUUGCUAAUCGCAAAAAACAAAGCAAAAAAAAAUUAACAUAUUACUGUACCCAGUUUCUAAUAAAUAUAGCUCCACUGAAACCCAAACUGUUAGGUUAAACAAAUUAAACUCUGGCAAGUAUGCUAAAUCACCACGGAUGUUUUAGGCGUUUGAUUUCCAAACAGGAUGGCAUAUCAAUUGUUUAGUUCAAUAGACAGGGUUCGUUUUGUAAUUGUGUAGGAAAUAAAUUAACUUUCAUCACACAUUUAAGAAACUGGUCUGAGAAAAACUGUGAUCAGCAGUUACGGAGGGAAGCAAACAUAUUGAACACAAGUUGUUCUUCAGAGCCUGAGGCUUUACAAAUGAAGCACUCCUGGAGAGAAUGAUUUGCUGAGAGCUGUGUCAUUGACUGACAAUCUUGGUGUGAAUUCACCUUCCGUUAGCCAAGCUGCAAACCGCAAAGGCUACGCUUUUUGUCUCGUGUUUACAUUUCAUUGCUUUAGAAAGGCAGUCCCCCUGUGUUAUACCUUUUAUUUCUCUGGCAGUUUUAAACGAGAACUUUCUCACCAAACAGCUGCUGCCUGUAGCAAAAGCUGCCUUUCAGAACAGGAAAAUAAAAUUGGUUUAGAUCAAAUAUUGCAAACCAGUUAGGUACAGAGUUAAGGUAUGGAAAUUUGGAUUUUUUUCUUUUUGAGUCAUAGUGCACGUGAGCCACGCUUUGAGUUUUAUUUCUGAGAAAGUAAAAGAGAGCCUGAAGCAUCUCUGAUGUCAAAGAAACAAACCGUAUCUGGUUAUUAGUAACAAGGAGGCAGGAAAAAAAUGUGAGGUAAUAACAAAAAGCAGUGUACACGCAAUCACCCCUCCUGACCUUGAAUUUUUAUAGAUUACAUGAAUAUUUAGAAUUUUAAAUUAUAGAAGCAAAACAAGGCUCACAAUUCAGGGUAGUACCCAGAGAGAGUGAAUAACAAGGGAGAGAAGACCGAAUACAAGUGACAUUCCCUGAUAAACCAUUUCUGGCUUAUCUUUUAGUAAAAAGUUAUUUAAGAAGAUGUUGCAUUUUCACACACAUAGUCUGAAUACAUUCAUAGCCUUCUUAAAAUCAUCCCAAUUAUUUCAAAGGGCACACAAUCCAACCGUACAUUUUUAAUGAUGUGGUUUUGUUAACUGGCAAACAAUAUUCACUCAACUAUUAUUGGCAAGAUCUCUAUAGUAACUAUAUAGUUUUGUGCUGCUUUUUUAUCACUAUCAAUAUUAAGAAAUAUUUCCCAUCAAACAACGUUCAUACUUUUAAAAGGCAGAUUCCAUGUAUCUAUAACACUGUAUAGACACCCGUUUCACUGUACUUGUGUAAUCCUUUGCACACAAAAAAACUUCUCAUGUGACUACUUUAUUAUUUUAUUUAACCUAACAUCUAAUUUUCAGAUUCUUGUGGUACUUAUCUGAAGUGUUGCCAUUUGUUUUUUAUAUUAAAUAUAUAUUCUAGAUGAACUAAUGUGUAUUCCUAGGAAAUGAGUCAUGAAUAGGUUAGAUCAUUUUAUGUUGGCAUGGAAAUACCAUUUUGUUUUAUUGUUCUGUGGAAACCAUAUUCAUUGUACACUGUGUGUAUAUUUUUGUUUAAAUAAAUGUGAUUUUUAUUUUUUA